AGUCGAACGAAGUAGCAAUACUUAGUGGCAGACGGGUGAGUAACAUGUAGGUAUCUUCCCUUUGGUGAGGAAUAACACGAGGAAACUUGUGCUAAUACCUCAUAAGUCUUUACGGAGAAAGCUUUAUGCGCCAAUGGAUGAGCCUGCACUUGAUUGGUUUGUUGGUGGGGUAAUGGCCUACCAAGACUUUGAUCAAUAGCUGAUCUGAGAGGAUGAUCAGCCACAUUGGGACUGAGACACGGCCCAAACUCCUACGGGAGGCAGCAGUAGGGAAUAUUGCACAAUGGAGGAAACUCUGAUGCAGCGAUGCCGCGUGAGUGAAGAAGGCCUUUGGGUUGUAAAGCUCUUUCGUCGGGGAAGAAAAUGACGGUACCCGAAUAAGAAGGUCCGGCUAACUUCGUGCCAGCAGCCGCGGUAAUACGAAGGGACCUAGCGUAGUUCGGAAUUACUGGGCUUAAAGAGUUCGUAGGUGGUUAAAAAAGUUGGUUGUGAAAUCCCGAAGCUUAACUUCGGAACUGCAAUCAAAACUUUUUAGCUAGAGUAUGAUAGAGGAAAGCAGAAUUUCUAGUGUAGAGGUGAAAUUCGUAGAUAUUAGAAAGAA
rnacentral:rRNA from 1 species